UACAGAGGGUGCAAGCGUUGUUCGGAAUUAUUGGGCGUAAAGCGCACGUAGGCGGCUUUGCAAGUCGGAUGUGAAAUCCCUCGGCUUAACCAAGGAAGUGCAUCCGAAACUGCAGAGCUUGAGUACUUAAGAGGAUCGCGGAAUUCCCGGUGUAGAGGUGAAAUUCGUAGAUAUCGGGAGGAACACCAGUGGCGAAGGCGGCGAUCUGGGAAGAUACUGACGCUGAGGUGCGAAAGCGUGGGGAGCAAACAGGG
rnacentral:rRNA from 1 species